rnacentral:lncRNA from 1 species
AUUUUAAGAGUGCAAAGACCAAAACCUUUGAGAGCUUUUUUCUACUGCUGUAGUAGAAUGCAAGUCCUUGAAAGUGGAAUUUUUCCUUCCUUCCUUCCUUCCUUCCUUCCUUCCUUCCUUCCUUCCUUCCUUCCUUCCUUCCUUCCUUCCUUCCUUCCUUCCUUCCUUCCUUCCUUCCUUCCUUCCUUCCUUCCUUCCUUCCUUCCUUCCUUCCUUCCUUCUUUCUUUCUUUCUUUCUUUCCUUCUUUCUUUCUUUCUUUCUUUCUUUCUUUCUUUCUUUCUUUCUUUCUUUCUUUCUUUCUUUCUUUCUUUCUUUCUUUCUUUCUUUCUUUCUUUCUUUCUUUCUUUCUUUCUUUCUUUCUUUCUUUCUUUCUUUCUUUCUUUCUUUCUUUCUUUCUUUCUUUCUUUCUUUCUUUCUUUCUUUCUUUCUUUCUUUCUCCUUCCUCUUUCUUUUCUGCCUCCUCUC